UACGUAGGGUGCGAGCGUUGUCCGGAAUUAUCGGGCGUAAAGAGCUUGUAGGCGGUUUGUCGCGUCUGCCGUGAAAAUCCGGGGCUCAACCCCGGACUUGCGGUGGGUACGGGCAGACUAGAGUGUGGUAGGGGAGACUGGAAUUCCUGGUGUAGCGGUGGAAUGCGCAGAUAUCAGGAGGAACACCGAUGGCGAAGGCAGGUCUCUGGGCCGAUACUGACGCUGAGGAGCGAAAGCGUGGGGAGCGAACAGG
rnacentral:rRNA from 1 species